CCAGACUCCUACGGGAGGCAGCAGUGGGGAAUAUUGCACAAUGGGGGAAACCCUGAUGCAGCGACGCCGCGUGAGUGAAGAAGUAUUUCGGUAUGUAAAGCUCUAUCAGCAGGAAAGAAAAUGACGGUACCUGACUAAGAAGCCCCGGCUAACUACGUGCCAGCAGCCGCGGUAAUACGGAGGAUGCGAGCGUUAUCCGGAUUUAUUGGGUUUAAAGGGUGCGUAGGCGGGAUGCCAAGUCAGCGGUCAAAUGCGGGGGCGAACCCUGCGUCCGCCGUUGAAACUGGCGUUCUUGAGUGGGCGAGAAGUACGCGGAAUGCGUGGUGUAGCGGUGAAAUGCAUAGAUAUCACGCAGAACCCCGAUUGCGAAGGCAGCGUACCGGCGCCCAACUGACGCUGAAGCACGAAGGCGUGGGUAUCGAACAGGAUUAGAUACCCGCGUAAG
rnacentral:rRNA from 1 species